CAAAAGGCAAGCCUGAGCAAGAGCAAGCCUAGUGUUCUCUGCGCUGAGCUCAAGCAUCGGGCGGUUCCUCCUUCCUCGUCUGUGACCAGGCCGACGAUUCUGCUGGCGCUGGAGGCUUGGUCCUCCGCCUGGAGACCGACGACGUGGCGCAGCGCUGGAGCUGCGAUCACAUCGGAGAUCGCCGAGGAUGAGGACGGAUGCUGCGGUGGAGUUGUUGGCAAGGUGAAGGAUCCCUUCGGCGUCGUUUGGAUCAUUUCCUCCCUCGGCAAGAAGAGGUGCGCCGAGCCUGAACCCGCUGCUUAAAAACACCCCUUCAAAGAUUCCUGGUGUUUUUCGUUUGGGAUGGACUACUAAUUCUGGAUGUUUAGUUAGUUAGUUAAGUACGGAUAAUUUCAAGAUUGAUGUUGCCUUUUUGUUGGAAACCUUUGACUGUGGUGGUCUUCACUUUUGACGGGUGGUGAUGAUGAUCCAAAUCGUAUUAUCUUAUCUUAAUCUUUUGCUUAUC